CAGAAGUCUAGUCCUGCGAAAAAGAUAUCAAGAAAUCCAGUCAUGUUAAACCUGAAAGCAUGAUCCCAAGAGGGUGGACUGCAGAGGCUCAAUGAUUUCCAAAUUCUGGACGCUGUCAUCAGUAAAGAAAUAAAACACGUACAGAAAUGCAGCACUUUUGAGCUUGACAAUCUUAAAUUUAUGUGGAAACAUGCUGAUUAUCUCUUCUUGAAUAACGUCUACACCAUAUUCAGAUAGGGAAAAUAUGCAUAUAAACAGCUCUAUGUACGAAUUGCAUGUGUAUGGGAAUGCAUAGAUACAAAAUUGUCAUAAAAAA